rnacentral:lncRNA from 1 species
UUGCAACUUGUUGAAGUCAGCUUCAGUUAUCCAAAACGGGAGGAUUUCAAGCUGUCAGGUGUUGAUGUUGGUAUUGAUAUGGGGACUCGUGUUGCAAUUGUUGGACCUAACGGAGCUGGAAAGUCUACUCUGCUCAACCUUCUUGCAGGUGAUUUGGUUCCUACGGAGGGUGAAGUACGGAGGAGUCAGAAGUUGAGGAUCGGUAGGUAUUCACAGCACUUUGUGGAUCUCCUGACAAUGGGUGAGACCCCAGUUCAGUACCUUCUUCGCCUUCAUCCAGAACAAGAGGGACUUAGCAAGCAAGAGGCUGUCCGGGCAAAGCUUGGGAAAUAUGGACUCCCU